rnacentral:rRNA from 1 species
AGAGUUUGAUCAUGGCUCAGAUUGAACGCUGGCGGCAGGCCUAACACAUGCAAGUCGAACGGUAACAGAAAGCAGCUUGCUGCUUUGCUGACGAGUGGCGGACGGGUGAGUAAUGUCUGGGAAACUGCCUGAUGGAGGGGGAUAACUACUGGAAACGGUAGCUAAUACCGCAUAACGUCGCAAGACCAAAGAGGGGGACCUUCGGGCCUCUUGCCAUCGGAUGUGCCCAGAUGGGAUUAGCUUGUUGGUGGGGUAACGGCUCACCAAGGCGACGAUCCCUAGCUGGUCUGAGAGGAUGACCAGCCACACUGGAACUGAGACACGGUCCAGACUCCUACGGGAGGCAGCAGUGGGGAAUAUUGCACAAUGGGCGCAAGCCUGAUGCAGCCAUGCCGCGUGUAUGAAGAAGGCCUUCGGGUUGUAAAGUACUUUCAGCGGGGAGGAAGGGAGUAAAGUUAAUACCUUUGCUCAUUGACGUUACCCGCAGAAGAAGCACCGGCUAACUCCGUGCCAGCAGCCGCGGUAAUACGGAGGGUGCAAGCGUUAAUCGGAAUUACUGGGCGUAAAGCGCACGCAGGCGGUUUGUUAAGUCAGAUGUGAAAUCCCCGGGCUCAACCUGGGAACUGCAUCUGAUACUGGCAGGCUUGAGUCUCGUAGAGGGGGGUAGAAUUCCAGGUGUAGCGGUGAAAUGCGUAGAGAUCUGGAGGAAUACCGGUGGCGAAGGCGGCCCCCUGGACGAAGACUGACGCUCAGGUGCGAAAGCGUGGGGAGCAAACAGGAUUAGAUACCCUGGUAGUCCACGCCGUAAACGAUGUCGACUUGGAGGUUGUGCCCUUGAGGCGUGGCUUCCGGAGCUAACGCGUUAAGUCGACCGCCUGGGGAGUACGGCCGCAAGGUUAAAACUCAAAUGAAUUGACGGGGGCCCGCACAAGCGGUGGAGCAUGUGGUUUAAUUCGAUGCAACGCGAAGAACCUUACCUGGUCUUGACAUCCACGGAAGUUUUCAGAGAUGAGAAUGUGCCUUCGGGAACCGUGAGACAGGUGCUGCAUGGCUGUCGUCAGCUCGUGUUGUGAAAUGUUGGGUUAAGUCCCGCAACGAGCGCAACCCUUAUCCUUUGUUGCCAGCGGUCCGGCCGGGAACUCAAAGGAGACUGCCAGUGAUAAACUGGAGGAAGGUGGGGAUGACGUCAAGUCAUCAUGGCCCUUACGACCAGGGCUACACACGUGCUACAAUGGCGCAUACAAAGAGAAGCGACCUCGCGAGAGCAAGCGGACCUCAUAAAGUGCGUCGUAGUCCGGAUUGGAGUCUGCAACUCGACUCCAUGAAGUCGGAAUCGCUAGUAAUCGUGGAUCAGAAUGCCACGGUGAAUACGUUCCCGGGCCUUGUACACACCGCCCGUCACACCAUGGGAGUGGGUUGCAAAAGAAGUAGGUAGCUUAACCUUCGGGAGGGCGCUUACCACUUUGUGAUUCAUGACUGGGGUGAAGUCGUAACAAGGUAACCGUAGGGGAACCUGCGGUUGGAUCACCU